rnacentral:misc_RNA from 1 species
GAAAUGCGAUAAGUAAUGUGAAUUGCAGAAUUCCGUGAAUCAUCGAAUCUUUGAACGCACAUUGCGCCCUCUGGUAUUCCGGGGGGCAUGCCUGUCCGAGCGUCAUUGCGAACCCCUCAAGCACGGCUUGUGUGAUGGGCCCUCCCGCGUCUUGGUCGUCAAGACGGGCCCGAAAUGCAGUGGCGGCUUCGCGGUUAUCCGAUCAGCCAGAGCGUAUGGGGACUUUCUCUCUGUCACACGCCCGCGGUGCGGACCGACGCCUGUCGACCUUUAUUCAUCUUUUUCUCGGUUGACCUCGGAUCAGGUAGGGAUACCCGCUGAACUUAAGC